UACGAAGGGGGCGAGCGUUGUUCGGAAUCACUGGGCGUAAAGGGCGCGUAGGCGGCCUCUCUUGUCGCGUGUGAAAGCCCCGGGCUCAACCUCGAGAUGUCGAUGGAAACCGUCUGGCUAGAGUCCGGAAGAGGAGUGUGGAAUUCCUGGUGUAGCGGUGAAAUGCGUAGAUAUCAGGAAGAACACCGGUGGCGAAAGCGCUCUGCUAGGCCGCAACUGACACUGAGGGACGAAAGCUAGGGGAGCGAAUGGG
rnacentral:rRNA from 1 species